rnacentral:rRNA from 1 species
AACGAACGCUGGCGGCAUGCCUAACACAUGCAAGUCGAACGAGACCUCCGGGUCUAUUGGCGCACGGGUGCGUAACGCGUGGGAACCUGCCCUUAGGUUCGGAAUAACUCAGAGAAAUUUGAGCUAAUACCGGAUGAUGUCUUCGGACCAAAGAUUUAUCGCCUUUAGAUGGGCCCGCGUUGGAUUCGCUAGUUGGUGGGGUAAUGGCCUACCAAGGCGACGAUCCAUAGCUGGUCUGAGAGGAUGAUAAGCUACACUGGGACUGAGACACGGCCCAGACUCGUACGGGAGGGAGCAGAGGGGAAUAUUGGAGAAUGGGCGAAAGCGUGAUCCAGCAAUGCGGCGUGAGUGAUGAAGGCCUUAGGGUAGUAAAGCUCUUUUACCCGAGAUGAUAAUGACGGUAUCGGGAGAAUAAGCUCCGGCUAACUCCGUG